CCGUCCUCCAAGCAAACAACUCCUGCGGGCCAGCCGGCUGCUGUCCUCCACAGGAGAGGGCACGGCAUCUCCCGAGCACAUCGAGAUGAAAAUUACUGAUCAGCUGUGAAAUAUUAUUACAUGGGUUUGUGAUUAUUUGUUCCAGCAUUUUCCUGGAUUUUGAGGGUUUUGUUUCAGCUGCUCCUGUAUCAAAGCUCGGAGUGGUCAGCUCCCCUUGCUGCAUGAUUUUCCAGAGGCUUGUGUCAGCAGCGAGUUUUAGUCAGGGUAAAGAUCAAAGGCUUUGAUCUGCAUUCAUCUCUACUUGACUAAAAGGAAGCCACAUCUGGAGAAUUUAUCUAAUUCUGCAAGCUAUAAAUAUGUAUGUUUUUGGUACUAUGUAAUUAAUCAAACGGCUUAAACAGAGUACAUGUGCUAACCUGCAAAGAUGCCAGAUCGCAAACUGUAGGAACUGAUGAAAUAUCUUCUUAUGCAUAUUUCUGUGUACCUCUAAACCACUCGGAGUUUCGGCGCUUUAUCUUUGUUUCAAGUGAACUCCGUACCAAGGGCACAUGACUUCGCGGAUCCUUAAGAAUUAAGUCAUUUAUUUCUACAUAAAGGGCAGCACCACGCAGUCGUUUCCUACCCAGGAACACCACAGAGCUGUGACUUGCAGAAGUGUGAAUCAGAACACUGUGCAGGCAGGGGCCUCAGUAUAAAACAUGGAUCUGGUCUGCUUUUGAGUCCUGAAUUUUUCAUUCUCAAAAUCUGGACCAGCUCACGUGUCUGGGACCCAGCUCUGAUUUUUCCCAUUUACUCCAAAUCAGCCGUAAAUGGCACAAAGUUUAAUCUAAUCAGGCAGCACUCUUAAAAAACUGUAAUCAGGCUCCAGUGGUGACUACCUGCUUUAUUCUACUAAAUACGCCUGAUUUGAUACCUAGACAAUCGGAACUCCUGAUUAGCUGAAUACGCCACUCAUGAUUAUUUUUAAGCUUGUGUACUCGUGCUGCAGGUCUUUCAAGAGGAUGCAGUCGUGUUAUUUCAAGGCCAUACCUUGAAGCUGUGGAAUACGUGCAGCUGCUGGAAUGGACGAGGCACGCGUUUGCAGACUGAUGGCCAAGGUCUAUGCUGGGAAACGGACGGGUUGGCAGAUGCGUCGUCUGGUUGGGAACCGCUCCCAAAAAUUCUGAAGACAAGAGCUGGAAAAAUGAGUAAUGAGGAGCGCUCAAAGAUGCUCCCAAAACAAACAAGCAAACAAACAGGCAACGUGCUCUGCACCAGCCGGGACAGCCUGCCAGUUUUGACUCUUUAGCGGACUAUUGCUAACAAAUCUCUGUGUGGCCUUCAGCUGGCAGGCUUAAGACCAGAUUCUCCCAAGAAAUAAAGCUCAGAAAAAAAUAAUUUUCUUUGUAGUCAUGACUGUCAGUGGAAUAAUUUCUCUCUUUUAAAACUCCUUUCCCACAAGGUGGGGGGAAAUGACUGUAAUGAAACGCAAGUACCGAGGAGCAGAGCAGGACAGCUCUCAGUAUCCAAGCAACACAGACACUCUGAUCAUUAUUAUUAUGAUUUCACCUUUUAAAGAAUCCCCUGUAUAUAGCUAACUUUCGAUAAUGUGCCUCGUUAAUAUUAAUUAAAUCUCACAACUCCUGUGCGAUGCAGCUAAGCCAGACAGUUUUGAGCUGAAAACCAGGAAAGUUGCGUGACUGAAAAAGGCACGGACGGCUGUAACAAAGUCGGGGUGGAUCGAGCACUACUUCUCCUGAUUACCUGGUCUUCUGGGUCAGGAGAACAUGAAGCUGCCUCCUCCCCGGCACCAGGAGCUGCUGCUCCUCAUGUUUUUGCAAUGAGGGGUUAAGGUUUCAGCCGGCACCAACAACCACCUGUAACUGCACCCUGCAUCCAGAACAGGAGGAAAUGGAGGAAACAUACCACAGAUCCAGCACUUUUUGUACUUCUAAGCUUUUCCGUGACUUUAGAGCAAUUUUAGAGCGAGAUCAACUAGGCCAAUUUACAAAGCAAAACCCUUUUCCUCCUGUCUUCAGAGGACACUUGGGAAAAGUUUUGUUUGCUAUGUCUGUCUGUGCCAAAUCCUUGCUACAGGCUCUGACCAGACACCUUUGGGUUAUCUGCUGGCACACCCCGAAGCAGAGGAUGAUGCUGAGGAGGAGGAAAAAUAAAAGGACUUUUUUCGUGCUUAGUCAUUAGAAGGUCAGCCUCCUGGGGACAUAUCUCCUUACCUCUUUGCCGUAUUUACAGCAGGAUACUCGCAGAUCUCUAAUUGGUAUUCUGUUGACUCAGUAUUUUCCUUGUCUGUUCACACCCAUCACUGGGUAAUGGAAAUUUGAUUACCGACAGUUUGCUCCACAAGAAAAUAAAUGUAAUGCUUUUAAAGGGUAUGCUUUCGUGGAGUCCAUCCAUUCCACUUUUUUCAUUACCUGGCUUAGAGUAAUUAAUCAUUAUGAAGCCGUGUGUGCUGAGUUUGGGCAGAAGAGAAGUCUGGACAGUGAAAGGCACAUUUCAGACCGGGUCUCUGGGGUUUAUUUCACCAGAUUUUGCAUGCUUGACUGGCCAAGUCUGCAGUAUGAAA